CUCUAUUCAGACUGCCCAGGUCAACUGGGAGGAAGGUGGGGAUGACGUCAGGUCAGUAUGGCCCUUACGCCUUGGGCUGCACACGUACUACAAUGUCCAGUACAAUGAGAACCGAGACCGCGAGGUGGAGGAAAUCUGCAAAACUGGGCCCAGUUCGGAUUGGAGGCUGCAACUCGCCUCCAUGAAGUUGGAAUCGCUAGUAAUGGCACAUCAGCUACGGUGCCGUGAAUACGUUCCCGGGUCUU
rnacentral:rRNA from 1 species